UCGUUCAUCUCGCUGUGGAACUGGGUGCCGUAGACCGGUUUGUCCUCGAGGCGGAUGGCCUGGAACGGGCACUGCUCGGACUGGGCGAGGUCGAGCCAGCCCGGACCGAGCUCGCUUACCCGAUCGUUGUGGCCGAGCUGAACGUGGAAUCUCUCGGGAAUUUCGGCGAACAGGGGGU
rnacentral:rRNA from 1 species